AUGAACUUUUGCACGAUAUUCUAAUUUUUUGAGUAUCACCUGUAUAUAUUUUAAAGUAUCUAAUAUUAUGUAGGAUUUUGCAGUUACAGUGAUUUUCCUUCAUAAUCAAAUCAAGAGUAAAAAAAUGCUUGAUUGUUUACUAAUGCACUCUGCAAGUCUCCAUAAAAGACCCUAUAAAAAUAAAACUAAUGUCUGUUGACCUACUGAGUGC